rnacentral:pre_miRNA from 1 species
AAAAAGGCAAACCCUAGAUUUCCGUGUCUAACUUUAACUGUCCGUCUUAUAUGAAAUUUUUUUAUAAUUCGUAUUUUCAUUGUUGUUAGAUGAUAAAACAUGAUUAAUAUUUUAUGCGUGACUUGUUUUUUUAAUUUUUUUUAUAAUUUUUUCAAAUAAGACGAACGGUCAAACAUUGGACACGGAAACC